CGUGAUCGAUUUGCUGCGGACAAAUAAAAUGGAUAUGGGUAUCAAUGCCGCCUGCGGUGGCUAUCAUGCCUGCGCCGCCAUGCACCUCGGUAGCCGCGCCGAUGAUCAUGUUAGGGGUAACACCGUCCAUCGUAUCCGGAUUGCCUGCCUUACCGAUGCCCACUAUUUUCCCGUCUUUGAUGCCGAUAUCAGCCUUUACAAUCCCCCAAUGGUCGAUAAUCAUCACGCUGGUGAUCACAAAAUCGAGCACAUUUGCCGAACGCACAUGGGUAGCCGACUGCGCCAUGCCAUCCCGGAUG
rnacentral:sRNA from 1 species